UGGGGAAUAUUGCACAAUGGGGGAAACCCUGAUGCAGCAACGCCGCGUGAGCGAUGAAGGCCUUCGGGUUGUAAAGCUCUGUCUUCGCUGACGAUAAUGACGGUAAGCGAGGAGGAAGCCACGGCUAACUACGUGCCAGCAGCCGCGGUAAUACGUAGGUGGCAAGCGUUGUCCGGAAUUACUGGGCGUAAAGGAUGCGUAGGCGGCCUCUUAAGUGGGAUGUGAAAUGCCGGGGCUUAACCCCGGAGGUGCAUUCCAUACUGGGAGGCUGGAGUGCAGGAGAGGAAAGCGGAAUUCCCAGUGUAGCGGUGAAAUGCGUAGAGAUUGGGAGGAACACCAGUGGCGAAGGCGGCUUUCUGGACUGUAACUGACGCUGAGGCAUGAAAGUGUGGGGAGCAAACAGG
rnacentral:rRNA from 2 species